rnacentral:lncRNA from 1 species
GGUGUGUGAGGAGAACAUUUGAGGCUCUGCAGUAAAAACGUCUUCACUUCAGUCUCUGGGAGAGUUGAUCAGCUAAAGCGACUAACUGCUGCUGCUGCAGAAAUCUUCUCACCAGGCUGUGGAAACUUUCUUCUCCUCCUCAACAACUUGGUGGAGUUCUUUCCAGAAGCAGAGAAGAUAUUCUGCGGUCUUCGUGACAAUCGGAGCUCCAGAAGCAGCUGUUAGCUAAACACGGCUAAAGAAAACCUGCUACCACUUCAGGAUCAUCCAUCAGCUGGGACUGAUUCAUCGUGUGUUCUUCACCACCUGGACCUGGACAGCAUGGACACAGGUACUGGUGGAUGAAUGAAUAUAUUGUCAGUCUAUUGUAACCCUGGCGUCAGAUUAAGUUACCACUUAUUCAAAAAAUAAUAAUAAAUAGGCCAGACUCUAGGUCCAACAGGAUUACCUUACAAAUUACCAGUGAGUGGGAAAUGGAAUAGCUGGAUCCAAAGAAUGAGCAAAAGAACACAGUUGCACCAGAUUUGUAAUUUUAUAUAGAAAUAUGAAAAUAGAACAAAAA